UACAGGGGGUGCAAACGUUGCUCGGAAUCAUUGGGCGUAAAGCGCACGUAGGCGGUUCGUUAUGUCGGAUGUGAAAGCCCUUGGCUUAACCGAGGAAGUGCAUCCGAAACUGGCGAGCUAGAGUACUAAAGAGGAUCGCGGAAUUCCCGGUGUAGAGGUGAAAUUCGUAGAUAUCGGGAGGAACACCGGUGGCGAAGGCGGCGAUCUGGGUAGAGUACUGACGCUGAGGUGCGAAAGCGUGGGGAGCAACAGGG
rnacentral:rRNA from 1 species